rnacentral:rRNA from 1 species
UACGUAGGGGGCAAGCGUUAUCCGGAUUUACUGGGUGUAAAGGGAGCGCAGGCGGCGAGGCAAGUCUGAUGUGAAAGCCCGGGGCUCAACCCCGGGACUGCAUUGGAAACUGUCUUGCUUGAGUGUCGGAGAGGUAAGUGGAAUUCCUAGUGUAGCGGUGAAAUGCGUAGAUAUUAGGAGGAACACCAGUGGCGAAGGCGGCUUACUGGACGACAACUGACGCUGAGGCUCGAAAGCGUGGGGAGCAAAC